UACGUAGGGCGCAAGCGUUAUCCGGAAUUAUUGGGCGUAAAGAGCUCGUAGGCGGUUUGUUGCGUCGGCUGUGAAAUCCCGAGGCUCAACCUCGGGUCUGCAGUCGAUACGAGCAAACUAGAGUGUUGCAGGGGAGACUGGAAUUCCUGGUGUAGCGGUGAAAUGCGCAGAUAUCAGGAGGAACACCGGUGGCGAAGGCGGGCUCUGGCGGUCUACCUGACGCUGAGGAGCGAAAGCGUGGGUAGCGAACAGG
rnacentral:rRNA from 1 species